rnacentral:lncRNA from 13 species
AUGGACACUUACCACGCCGCGUAUUGGUCCUCAGAUCCAUCUCGUCUCUCCUCUUCAGAUGAAGAGGAGGACGGCCGUGACAGAAUCACCCACCAACCAAGGACCAAGCGGCGUGGUAGAAGACAGCGACGACAGCAGCAGCAGCAACAACAGCGGCCGGUAUCACAGGACUCCUGGACAUGGGAGGAGAUACUGAACGGAGAGGGACCCUGGGCACAGGCUGGGGAAUAUCGCCGCCCCAAAGCAGAGCUGGAGGCAGCGAAAGCUGAGCGGCGGCGAUAUGAGGAGGCAGCACGGCAGUGCGACAGGUACGAGAGACAGCCCCAAACAUUUUUUUGGGGGGGGCACACGAGGGGUGGAGCUAAGCCAGGUAGCAGACCUGCGCUCACUCCUCGUGCUUAUUAUAAGCAGCGAGAUACUGGGCAGGCACCGUGUUAUGCGGUUAAGCGCACGGUGUCGCCAGUACGUGCCCAUAGCCCGGUGCGCUAUGGGACAGCCCCCCGAGAGUGUCAUGCGAGUGCGGGCAUCGAGCCAGGGCGGAUGGUGCCUGCUCAGCGGGUCUGGUCGCCGGUACGCAGUUUUGGCCCAGGGUAUCCUGCGCCGGCUCUGCGUGCUGUGUCUCCGGGGCGCUGGGAGGGUGCAGUGCGUCCUCUGCCCGCGCUCCGCUCGUGCCGGGCGAAUGUGGGAAUGGAGCCGAAGGGAGAGGUGCGUGUAGUAAGCACUAGAUCUCCCGUGCUUACCCACAGCCCGGUUCAACCUGUGCCUGCACUCUGGACGGUCCGGGCUAGAGUGGUUAUCCAGCCUGGGGAAGUGGUGCCAAGGUUGCGCCCCAGAGCUCCAGUGCUCCCCCACAGCCCGGUCUUUCAGGUGCCUCCUCUUAACCCCAAGCCUCCUGAAGGUCUUCCCAGCCUGGUGGUUCCUGUGGCAGCCCCACGCACCAGGCUGUCUCUCUGUCUCCUCCCUGCAGGUGGUCCUGUCUGUCCGGCGCCUCUGCCGGAGUCUCCCGCCUGUCCGGCGCCUCUGCCGGAGCCUCCCGCCUGUCCGGCGCCUCUGCCGGAGCCUCCCGCCUGUCCGGCGCCUCUGCCGGAGCCUCCCGCCUGUCCGGCGCCUCUGCCGGAGCCUCCCGCCUGUCCGGCGCCUCUGCCGGAGCCUCCCGCCUGUCCGGCGCCUCUGCCGGAGUCUCCCGCCUGUCCGGCGCCUCUGCCGGAGUCUCCCGCCUGUCCGGCGCCUCUGCCGGAGCCCCCCGCCUGUCCGGCGCCUCUGCCGGAGCCCCCCGCCUGUCCGGCGCCGCUGCCGGAGCCCCUCUGCCCAGAGCUGCUGCCGCCCCUCUGUCCCGAGCAGCUGCCCCUCUGUCCCGAGCAGCUGUCCCUCUGUCCCGAGCUGCCCCUCUGUCCCGAGCAGCUGCCCCUCUGUCCAGUGGGGUCAUUGAGAGGGGUGGUCAUGCUGAGAAAGCCACGGAGGCGGACAAUAAGGCGGACUAAGACAAUGAUGAGGUGGGGUCCGCGUCCCGCGCCAGAGCCGCCACCGCGGACAGACGCCCACCCAGACCCUCCCCUAUAG